rnacentral:rRNA from 1 species
AUUGAACGCUGGCGGCAGGCCUAACACAUGCAAGUCGAGCGGAGCGGCGGACGGGUGAGUAAUGCCUAGGAAUCUGCCUGGUAGUGGGGGAUAACGUCCGGAAACGGGCGCUAAUACCGCAUACUAUCAGAUGAGCCUAGGUCGGAUUAGCUAGUUGGUGGGGUAAAGGCCUACCAAGGCGACGAUCCGUAACUGGUCUGAGAGGAUGAUCAGUCACCAUGGAAAUGAGACACGGUCCAGAUGUCUACUGGAGGCAGCAGGGGGGAAUUUUUGACAAUGGGCGAAAGCCGGAUCCAGCCCUGCCGCGUGGUGUAAGAAGGUCUUCGGAUUGUAAAGCACUUUAAGUUGGGAGGCGUUACCAACAGAAUAAGCACCGGCUAACUUCGUGCCAGCAGCCGCGGUAAUC